GACAGAGGAUGCAAGCGUUAUCCGGAAUGAUUGGGCGUAAAGCGUCUGUAGGUGGCUUUUCAAGUCCGCCGUCAAAUCCCAGGGCUCAACCCUGGACAGGCGGUGGAAACUGUCGGGCUCGAGUCCGGAAGAGGAGUGUGGAAUUCCUGGUGUAGCGGUGAAAUGCGCAGAUAUCAGGAGGAACACCAAUGGCGAAGGCAGCACUCUGGGACGUGACUGACGCUGAGACGCGAAAGCGUGGGGAGCAAACAGG
rnacentral:rRNA from 1 species